ACUUGGCUGAGUAGUUUACAGGAACAACAAUGCCAAUAACAGCAGUGAUAAAUAUCAUUGCACAUCAGCCUUGUGGAGUGGUCUGUCUGUAAUAUAAGCAAGUAUUAACAUCUGGGACGUCGUCACUUUCAGAUUUCAAGGUGCAGUACCCGCCGUGCACCCUGGGUCACUCCUGCGGCAGUUACAGCAUGCAUCAUCCCUCGAUCGGGCCGCCGGUCCCCGCCACAUUGUUUUUCCCUUUCAUUUACACUGGCAGGCUUCGGAAAUCUGCAGCGGGGCGUGUGCGCGCCGGUCGGCAAACAAACGUGACAGCUUGCGCGGCGACUGCCAUAGACAGAUCCGCAACCUGAAACAUUCGCGCUUCCGCUCCGGGGGCCAGCUUGUUAAUUACAGUCGCUCCGAGAAUGUGAUAAUUAGUCUGUUUCACGGCAGCCAAACAGGUCAGUAUGAAAGGAAGCUCGAUGCUGCCGCUGAGAUGUAGUCAUCCAUGUGCUUAUUUCUUUUCAGACAUUACCGUUUUCUUCCUCUCUCUGCGUCAAGGAGAUUUAGGACUGCGGUAAAGCAUUAGUUAGAAACCGCGGCUAUUUUGAUUUGGACGAGAGCGACAUAAACUGCCAGGCACAUCGCAGAGCUCCAAAGAGCUACAUUCACGGAGGACUUGACAAACCACAAGGAGAACACUAAUACGGAAUGGCUUGAUGCGUCAAUAAUACCAGAGCCCAAGUUUAAAGACCUGAGAUGCCUACAAAAAGCAGAGAGAAAUGAUGUGUGAAGAUGCUGGAGGACAGGGAGCCAUGUCCACCACCCUUUGAAGAAACUGAUCCAGAGGCACCAUAAAACAGCCUCCUCUAUAUCGGAUUAGAUGCAGAGUCUGAGGAUGAGGCCUCAUCCACACCUGCAGCAUACUCACACUUGGCUUGGUUGUGUGUACCACCCCCC